CACCGCCCGUCACAUCACGAAAGUGGGUUGUACUAGAAGUCGUCGCGCUAACCCGCAAGGGAGGCAGGCGCCCACGGUAUGAUCCAUGACUGGGGUG
rnacentral:rRNA from 1 species